CAGGCCAAGGACAUUUCCGCGGUAGCAGGGUGUUUCUCUCUCAUCAUAUGGAAUCUGUGUGCAAUGGAAGCAUCCUGGAAACAGAAGAAAAGAAGGCGAGAAAAGCCUGGUUAGUGGUUGUGGCCAUGAGGUAUGGUGAGAAGACACACAUUUAUGCCCCCUGGAAGGCCCAGAUUCCAGAGACUCCAAAUCACAGGGGCACAAGCACCGCGUCCAGGCGUAAGCUAGUGCCACCAGUCUGUCCUUUGAGAGCCUCGCUUGGUUGCCUGGCACUCACAGUAUCUCAAGCCCAGUGAAUGAUCUCAGUUCAGCCUUUGGAAACAGAGGCAAGAGCAGGCUCUAGAGAGAAGAGACUGCCACUCUCUUCAGAAUAGUGAGGGACUCUCCUCAGGUGAGGCCAGAAGCCAGUGAGGAGUGGGUGUGGUGUGGUGUGGUGUGGUGUUGUGUGGUGGUGGUGGUAGUGGGUGGUGACAUAAAGUAAAGAGUAUUUCUACUCACGAGAAGUUGCAAAAAUGGUACUUUUUUUCAUGUCCCAUUCCAUGCGAAUGAUAACAUCUUAGCACAUGUCAAACCCAAAGCUGACGCUGGUAUUAACUCUUUGUUGUCUGUUUCACUCAAAACAGUUAAUAAUACUACUGGGUAGCACGUUUAGCGGAUAACAAAAGCGUAUUAACCGUCUAACUUCUGCCCAUUCAUCUUUCUAUUCACAGGACUGCUUCUGAAGGUUAGCAACCAUCUUGAUCCUUUCCUACCCGAUCCGUUGUCCCCCCCCCCCUUUGGCUGCAUGGUUGGCUAUCGGGACCACAGAACUCACCGCGAGGCUCCAUGACACUGUGUUUCUGGGUGUCCCAUUUCUCAGGUUGGAACCUCUUAGCCCAGAGUCCCAUCUGCAUCCCACACCCCCAUGACAGCUAUCUGUGAGUGCUCAUGGUUGUGACUGGUGCUGACACGGUGGGGCUCCAGGACCUCUGGGCCAGAAUAGGAUCCAAAGCUGAACUCGGGUCUUCAAACCUAGCCUUCCACACCUCCUAACGAGCCCGCAGAAGAAUGCGUACCGCCCCCUUAUCUGGCAGACCUAAUUGAGCACUUUGGAGGCAGAUGCUGAAUACCAAUACCGGAAAUAAACCAACUCAUUGGCUGGAGACAGAACAGCCCAGAAACAAGGAGCCGAUUUAGAUUUGCCCAGAAGUGACAGCAGCAGCCAACCAGAAAUCUCUGGGGAUGCUGGGGCAUCCCUGUAGUCCCAACAUGUGGAUAUAGUGAGGCAGGAGGAUUUAGAGUUCAAGGCUAGCCUGGACUACAAGGUGGUACUAUAUGGUGGUACUAUAUCUCACUGAACUGAACCUACCCACCCACCUGACAAUCAACAAAUAACCAACAAAAAUCCAUUUACUAGACUCUGUGUUUGAAAGAUUCUUAAAAUUCUGGAGAGCCAAAAAACUAAAAGUCCAUAGAGCAGAUUUUUAGCUAAUGUAUUUUCCCUCUUCCUCCCUCCCUCUUCCCAUCUCUUCCUUCUUUCCCCCUUUCUCCUCUCUCUCUCUCUCUCUCUCUCUCUCUCUCUCUUUCUCCUUCCCUCCUUCUCUCCCUUUUUCUUCUAAGACAGCUCUUACCAUGUGGUUCUAGCUGGCCUGGAACUCACUAUGUAUACCAGUAGUUCUCAACCUUUUGGGCCUGACCUCUGUGGGGGGGUCAAACAACUCUUUCACAGAGGUUUCCUAAGAUUAUCGGAAAACAUUGACAUUAUGGUUCAUAACAGUUGCAAAAUUAUAGUUAUGAAGUAGCAAUGAAAAGAAUUUCAUGGAUGGGGUCACCACAGUAUGAGUUAAAGGGUCACAGCAUUAGGAAGGUUGAGAACCACAGAUGUGGACUGUACUCAGCUCAAACUCAGAGAGAUCCUCCUGCCUCUGACUCCCCUGCCUUGGGAUUAAAGCUGUGUGUGCUUCCAUGCUGGGCAUAUUGUUUCUCGAUAAGGAAAGUCAACAACAGAGCAUCAAGUGGAGCUUUCUGAAGAAGCAUUUUGGGGUGCAUACUAUGUGUGAUAGGAGUGACCUCAGCCAGCAGCCACUGUGUGGAAUCUGGGAGGGUAGAUAUUGGCUUAUUUUGUGGCUGGUAAACAUUCCUUGGGCAUUUAACAGUUAAACUUUUGCCAUUGAUUUAUUCGUAUAGUUUUCUGAUUUGUCAGGAGCUGAUAGUCUGGGCAGAGUCACCUUGUGGACACAUGGUACCAGGUGUCAAAAUUCAGGGGGGGGCCGUUCGGACCCCCUGAACCCACACAGCUGUCUCAACUCCUCUGUGCAGCUUCUCUUCCUAGCCUAGACCGUGCCUGUCCCCCUCUCGUCCAGCAAGUCUCAGUGAACACUCCCAAAACAAGAUAUAUGUGGUAUUUGUCAAAUGAUUUUCUAGAAUUCCAGAAAAGCAUUCCAUCUAGCUGUGUUCCUUUGAAACACUGAUUUUUUCUCCUGUCAGG
ensembl:processed_transcript Gm15651 predicted gene 15651